rnacentral:lncRNA from 1 species
AGGGACCAAGGCAGUUUCUGCGCCAAAACUAAUCCUGCAAACCAGACUGAAAUGGUUCCUGAAAAUCAGUUGCAUCAAAAGUGACUGAAAUUGCAUGGAAGCCACACUACUGAGCACCAUUCCAAAAAAGCAGUAUUUGUUUUAAUCCUUGGAGUCCAAAGUGAGCUUCUUUAAGAUCAGCCUCACAACCAUCUCUUUCCAAGUUGGCUUGAGUUGUUCUCUGCGACAAAUAAGCAUUGAUGGUCUCCUGGACCCAACCAGUCAAUCCUCUUUAGCCAGGUGUUAAAAACCAAAAAGGGCUAAGGGUCAAAAGGGCAAGUGGCUAGAUGCAAACCACCAAGCACCUUGUCCACAUUCUCAUGCUCAACAAUUGAAAAUAAUUCAAGAGAGACAGACAUCCAUAGACUGAACUGUCCUACUGGUAGCAUCUCAGCUGAGGCUAAUGCAAGUGAUUUUACCCUUAAAGUAUUUUGCAGACGAUCACAGUGGACCACUACUGCUCUUUUGACUCUCCCUGAGGUCUUAGCUGGAGAAGACUCCAAACCAUUUGGAAAUGCUCUGCUGGACAGUACUCUGAGGAUGCAAUGAUGAAGUAUUUUUUUUCCUUGGAUGCCACGGCCACCACAGGAUUCCCUGAGGAUCUUUAGCCUCUUGGAUUCUAGUCAUCUCCCUAAAUGCUUCAUUGCCCCCAGGUCUCUGGUCAACCAGAAGGCAAACAGGAUCUGUUUAGCAAAUGAAGGUUCCUACGGGCAGUAGUGAAAACUACCUGAGUCAUCUCCAUAUCCCACAGAGUCUCAGGGGCUUUGACAGAAGCACCAGCCACAUCAACUGGAAAGUUUCAGGGGAUUAUCAGGAAUCCAAAAUGAUCCACCAGCUUUCAGGGGUGGGUCAUCCUAAUUGGUCUACCAUCUUGUAGAGGGAAUUGUCACAGAAAAGCUGAACAUCAGCAGAAAGUGACCAGAUCAUGAUAAAGAUAUAAAAUUCCCAAUACAUUAUUCUGGCCAGCGAAGAGCAUCAGGUCCUGUGGAUGACUUGCCCCAAUGAGGUGGUUGUCAUGGUGGUAAUGGAAGGCCUGUCAAGGCAGCCUCAGCAUAGAUGCUGAGAUCCCCCAAGAACUAAAAGCUUGGGAAUCCUCAGUAUCAUGUACUGUGUCCAGUUUUGGGUGCCACAAUUUUAGAAGGAUAUUAACAAGUUGGAACAUCUGCAGAGAAGGGCGACCAAGAUGGUCAAGAGUCUGGAAACCAAGCCUUAGGAGGAAUGGUUGAGGGAGUUGGGUGUAUUUAGCCUGGUAAAGAGGAGACUAAGAGGAGAUAUCUUCACAUAUCUCAAGGGCUGUCACAUGGAAGAUAGAAGCAGCUUGUUUUCUCCUGCUCCUGAGGAGAGAACUCAAACCAAUGGAUUAAAGUUUCAAGAAAAGAGAUUCCAACUGAACAUCAAGAAGAACUUUCUGAUGGUAGGUGGAACAGACUCCCAUGAGAGGUGGUGGACUCUCCUUCCUUGGAGGUUUGUAAGCAGAGGUUGGGUGGCCAUCUAGUUGAGAUUCCUGCAUUGCAGUGGGUUGGACUAGAUGACCCUCGGGAUCCCUUCCAAUUCUAUAAUUCUAAGAUUCUAUGCCUAAGGCUGCCUCUGUUAACUUGGGCAGGGAGUCUCUUAGGUGGUGGGAGGUGCGUGGUGCAUGAGGAGAAUAACCAUUCUCUUCCUAGUGUUCAAUACUGCAUACAAAUACUUAAACCCAGGACUCAUCCAAUUAGGAAAUCUGGAGAGGGAGAUUAUUUUUAUAGACCACAGUGACACACACACAGACAGAUGAGGGCAUCUGAACUCUCAAGUGAUGUGUCAAAACGCAGGUGGACAGAGCUCAGAUAGAUUGCCACCUCUAAGCUUGUCCUUUCUCUGUGUGUGCUUUACAUGCACACACAAUGUGUGUCCAUAUGUGCACAUGCAUUCAUGUGACCAGCUUCCUGCGGGGUCAAAAUGUACUCAUGUAUAUUGCGACAUAUUCCCCCUCCUUCCCUCCCCCACCCCUGCAAAAAGAAGCUUGAUGUGGGUCAGCUUGUUUCUCCCGCAUUGCCCUCCCACCUGCUACCCCCAGGCUGGCGAGGCUGGCUGUGGAAUGCCAUUCAUGCCUUCCUGCUCGACUGGACAGGACAGCUGAGACGCCCACACAGUGUGCGCUUGGUGUGUGUGUGUGAGUGUGACAGGCAGCCUUUGAGCAUAUGCCACAGGUGAUCUAGAGGGACCCAGGAGAAGGGGGACGCACUUUCCGCUCUUCCUUCGGCAGCGCUCUCUCCUUUCCAAAAGUAGUGAGGAAUGAGUGGGUGGUGAGUGGCACACACACAUUGCGCUUGGCUAACAGCUUCCCUCACCCCAGGAGGUGAGGAGAGAUCUGGAGAGGAGCCCAGCACAUUGCGGCGUCCCUGAUGUGACCUAUCACUGUGCUGUUGGGCGGAUUCCACCACCGCCUGACAGCACGGCGCUUGGCAUGUGGGGAGUCUUGGGCAGUUGCUAUGGCGCCUUCUCUCUCCCUCCCUCCCCAUCCCCAGCACGUCUCCCCCCCCUUCCAUUCAGCUCUGCUGAAACAUUUCAGGCUGCAACAUCUGUGCUUCUCCAGUUUUGUCUCUCUCCCGGAACAGGCCCCGCCGUAAGAGCUGCCUAAUUGUGCCACAGUUUAGUGAAGAGGAAAAUGUCAGAGAAUGGCUGGGCUGAGAGCAUGCCUGCACCCCCAAAUUCAAAGCAAGGCCUGCUGGAAUAGGAGGAGCCGUUGUGUCUGCCUCUCCCUCUCCGCACACCCCACAUGGCCACAGCACUCUUAAAAUAUUAACUAUGCUCCAAUCCUGCAGGGGGCUGAGUGCCUCCUGAAAGGAAGGAAGGCAUUCGAGGGGCUGGGAAUCUGCCCUUUGGGGAUAGAAUCUCAGUGGGGAGUUCAGCAUUUUAUGUUCGCUAAUUAUGCUGUGGUUUUCUGCAGGGAGAAUCUUGUCCCUCAUAAAUCAGCUGCAGUUUCUAGUACUGUGAAGCAUGAAGGAAGGGGGAGUUUUAUUUUUUGUCUUUAUACUGCAUUGGCUGGAAGAAUGAAAUCAUCACUUUUCAAGGAUGCUGGUGGAACUGGGGACAAAAGGGGCUCAGGCAAUGAAGGUCAGCGCAUGUCUGAAGAAGUCUGCGGGAGGAUAUGCAUCUUGUUUUAUUCUGGGUUGUCUUUUGAUGGCUGUUUUUGGCAGUCUCAAAAUGUGACGGGCCGACGGACAGGCCCAGCAGCUUUUUCAGCUGGCAAGAUUGUCUUCGCUGUCCCUUGUUGAAACUGAUUCAUUUGUCCCCUUGAAUAGCUUGAAAUGUGUGAGUCCUUAAUAAAGUGUUUCAGGUUAACUUUUAAGCUCUCCUUUUUAGUUCACUUCUCUCAGUCAUAGAAUCAUAGCACUGUACAGUUGGAAGGGUCAUCCAGUCCGACCCCCUGCAAUGCAGCCGCAGGGCAGACAAACGGGUUACAAAAAUAGCACCCAGGUCCCAUAGAAUUGUGCAACUUUCUCUCCCGGGAGGCAGAGGGGAAGGUCUGCCCAUGGAGGCCUCCUUGCUGCAGUUGCAGAAACCUCUGCCUUCCUCUGCCGUCAAGAGUUCUGAAGACAAUGGUAGCAGGAGGGGAAAGGGGUGUGUGUAGAUCAGGGAGGCUUCAGAUCUGCUGGAUCCAAAAGCCCUUCCGUUCUCUGACACCUAUCCAGAGCAGGGGCCCUGGUGUACUCGCUUUCUGUCCUAUUGGGAGCAAUGGGAGGGACUUACUUUUAAAAAAGAAAGUUGAGGCAGGGUUGGGAGUGGACACACACGCUGCCUCCAUUUUCUGCCCUGCCAGCAAUGCAUGGGCCUGCCAGGACUCAGGAUCUGGAGAUUCCUGUACCUCGGGUGCUCUUUCCUCUGCUCGUUUUGGACUGCUCUGCCUAGGAUUGAUAUUGUUAUGGGUUUCUGGGGUACCAGAGUUUGUGGGUAAAGGUAAAGGUAAAGGGACCCCUGACCAUUAGGUCUAGUCAUGACCGACUCCAGGGUUGCGGCGCUCAUCUCGCUUUAUUGGCCGAGGGAGUCGGCGUACAGUUUCCGGGUCAUGUGGCCAGCAUGACUAAGCUGCUUCUGGCGAACCAGAGCAGCGCACGGAAAUGCCGUUUACCUUCCCGCCAGAGCGGUACCUAUUUAUCUACUUGCACUUUGACGUGCUUUCAAACUGCUAGGUUGGCAGGAGCAGGGAUCGAGCAACGGGAGCUCACCCCGUCGUGGGGAUUUGAACCGCCGACCUUCUGAUUGGCAAGUUCUAAGUUCUGUGGUUCAACCCACAGCGCCACCUGCGUUUGUGGGUGGCAGACCUUUUAACCCCUGGACCCAGCAAAUGUAAAACUGUAAGCCUGUCUGGCUUCCUGGAGAGGUGGGCUGCCAGCAGAAAACAAAGACAGGGUGAUGACUCAUCAAGAAAACCACCAAGGAGGCCUGGGGCCCUACUCUGAGCUCUGAAUUAGCUAGAAAGACCACACCAGAGUAUGGAGGGAGAAGUGUCAGGAUUGCAGUUGGUGAGGACGUAAGCUGAAGGAAAAAAUAGCUGUGUUUUCAAGCAGUUUUCAAGCUGGUGGAAGGGGAGUCACAGCACAAUGUGGGUUGGAAGUUUGAAAACAAUGUGGUCACGUUGGGAGUAACAGGACCCUCAGAGUGUAACGCCAGAAGCCCCUCCAUCACAGCCUCUGGUUGUAUACAGGUGUAAAUAAACCAUAUAUCAUAAAGACACCACCAUCUCCGCUGUGCCUUAUUUUCAAAGGAAACACAAAUCUUGGGUCAGCGCCUGGAACCCCUGGAAUCUCUUGCUGCUGUGGAGAUUGGGGGGCUGUGUAAGAGUAUUCAUGGGAGGCAAGGUGUUGAUUGCUUUAGGCUCCGUUAAGAUUAGCCAUUAAACUUUCAUGUCGAGAGGCUGCGUGCUGUUAAAUGCCAAGCAGGAGAUGACCACGACCUUCAUGCCUCUCUGGGUGGGAGGGCAGGGUGACUGUGGAGGCCGGGAGAGCUGCGCUUUGGUCUGGUGCAGCAAGACAGUGCUUAUGUUUUUAUAUAAACAUCCAGAAUGAAACCCUUUCAGCUUAAUGCGUGUGAGGGGUUACAAUACCCAGACCUGAGAGGGUGAGAGACGGGGGCAAAGGAAACGGAUUUCAUCCAGUUCUGUUAACAGCAGCCCGGCAGAUCCUCCCUGAUUCAAAGUGAACACCAGUCCAGGGGAGAGGAGCAAGUGGGGAGGAUCCCAGAGCAGGCCGCUGCCUCUGAAGGCAGACAAGGCACCGCAAUAUAUUUUGCAUCCUUCCCCCUCACAAAACAAGUUCACUGUCUCCAUCAGUGGCCAUUCUGCCUGGUUUGUGAAGAAUUUGCGAUUUGCUUGUUUUCCUCUUCCCUUCCCAAUCCAUUUCCUUUUUGCAUUGUGCCUACUUGAUCGUGAGCCUGUGGGUGAACACUCUUUUUCGUUCACAUGCAUCUCCCAAAAAACAUUGAGUAUAUUACAACUGGUGCUGUUGUGAUUACUCAAUACAACAAACUAGCAAUUUGGUGUUCAUUUAUUUCUUCUGAACAUUUAUAUUCCACACUAUCCUCCACAGAACUGUUGAACCUGAAAUCCAGAAUCAGGGACGCCAACCUACAUAAAAUAGUGGGGGUGGGGAGAAGGUAAGCCCUGCCCCACAUAACUGAUCACAUGACAUGGCAUGCACACACCAUUUGGAAGCAAAAGCUCUGAAAAGGCUCAAUAUGGAGGCCAAAUGGCCGACAUAUUGGGAAAUUUUGGAACAAGAAGGAGAUAAAUUGAGAUUGCAGAGUUUCGAAAAACUAAAAAACAAAGUGAGAGAUUGGCUUCAUUAUUAUCAGAUAAUGGAGGCAUAUAAUUUGGAUAAGAAAAUUGGCUUCCAGGUGGAAAAGUCAAAAUUAGAAACAGAACUGCUAGAACCCAAAACUAAGAAUCUGUCAAGAAUGUAUAACUUGCUGUUGAAAUGGAAUACUCAGGAUGAAACGGUGAAAUCUGCUAUGAUUAAAUGGGCACAAGAUGUUGGACAUAAUAUUAUGUUUGCUGACUGGGAACAGUUAUGGACCACAGGUAUGAAGUUUACGGCAUGUAAUGCCUUAAGAGAGAAUAUUAUGAAAAUGAUAUACAGGUGGUACAUGACCCCAGUCAAGCUUGCAAAAAUCUAUCAUUUGCCCGAUAAUAAAUGUUGGAAAUGUACAGAAACUGAAGGUACAUUCUUUCACCUUUGGUGGACGUGCCCAAGGAUUAAGGCUUUCUGGGAAAUGAUUUAUAAUGAAAUAAAAAAGGUAUUUAAAUAUACCUUUCUGAAGAAACCAGAGGCCUUUCUCCUGGGCAUGGUCGGCCAAUUGGUGCCAAAGAAGGACAGAACUUUUUUAAUGUAUGCUACAACAGCAGCAAGAAUACUCAUUGCAAAGUAUUGGAAGACACAAGAUCUACCCACCCUGGAAGAAUGGCAGAUGAAGGUGAUUGACUACAUGGAAUUGGCGGAAAUGACCGGCAGAAUCCGAGACCAGGGAGAAGAGUCGGUGAAAGAAGACUGGAAGAAAUUUAAAGACUAUUUACAGAAAUAUUGUAAAAUUAAGGAAUCUUAGAAGGAUGUUGGAUAGAAACUAAGUGGUUUCCAGCUGUAAUGCUUUAAGAGAUACGAAAAAAGGUUUAUAAAUGGCUAAAAGCUUAAUGGUAAGGAUUUGCUGAACUAACAAACUGAACUGGAAUACAAAAAAGGGAGGUACGAGGAGGUCCGGGGAAAUAAGUGUAAGGAAGAUAUGCUAUGGAAAAUUAACGUGUUUUUAACUGUUUUUAUUUUGUAUGUUUCUUUUUAUUUUUCAUUUCUUUGUUAUAUCUUAAAAAUUUUAUUCUUUUUUCUGUAUUUUGGAUUUUCUUGCAUUUUUAUUUUUUGUUUUGUGUAAUUCUUGUAUUCUUUGAAACUUUAAUAAAUAUCAUUUUUUAAAAAAAUGAAUAGCAAUGCCUAUCAGCUUGUGGGGGGGAGGGGACUCAGAUAUUUUAGUGGUGGAGCUUGGCCCCUAGGAGUUGGCUCCCAUGUCCAGAAUUAUGCCCCCAACAUCAUUCCAGAGACGCUGGAUUGGGCCUGCAGCUGUGGGAGGUGUGCUUUUUGUUUUAAAGGCCUUUCCUUUGCAUGCUUGAAAUUGCCCUCCCGAAUGCUUUGCUAACCAACAAAUACCCAUAUUGUGCCUGGCCUUGGGUAAAUGAAGUUUCUAAAAUGCAUUGUGUAACAAAUGGCAUAUUUUCUAUCUUGAUCCUGGGAAGGAGGACGUCGCGUGUGAAAAAAAAACCAACUUUCUUCUUUGGUCUGUUUUUGUUACAAGCUUCUGUCUCCUUUAUCUUUCCCCUCCUUUAAUUCUUCUUCCUCCUUGUUUCCCCUUCAUUGUGCCAGGGCCCUCCAUGGACAGACUUCUGAAAAACAAACUGGGCAGAGACAGCAGGUAUGAAGAAACAGCGCAGCCCGGUUAUUCAGAACAAUGGCAAAAGGCUAAAUAACAGGGACCACAAUCUAGUCCUCUUUCUAAUAUUUAUUUAUCACAGGUAUGUAUGUAUUGGCAUAGAUCUAGGGUACCAGAGUAUGCUAGUGAAUGGCAGAACUUAAUAAACGGUAAAAUUUAGAUAAUAUUUGGGAUAUGAAGGGAAAACACAAGCUGCAGAACUGUGCUAGACAAGAAAUUACUGGCUUAGCUUAUGCAGACCAGCCUGCCAGGCUAGCUAAGUCAGAGCCAUUGAGAAACAAGGAAGAGCCAAGCCCUGGGCCAUUGAGGGCUAUUGGCAGGGCCGGAUUUGGGUUUGAUGAGGCCCUAAGCUGCUGAAGGUAAUGGGGCCCUUUAUAUGUCCAGCUGCCCUUUGUCAACAACAAAUGGUCACUGUUUUGUGUGUGGAAUAUAUGCUAUGGUAAUUUAUGGACCUAAUAGGCAUCUAAAGGCAUUUGCCACUGUUGCCGUAUGUAGGUUUUAUUUUACUUGUUUUUUAUCUUAUAUUUUGGAAAUUUACAUCCAGUGGGUUUUUUCCCUUUAAUUUUUUUUGGGGGGCCCCCAAGAGAGUGGGGCCCUCAGCUAUAGCUUGUUUAUCUUAUACGUAAAUCUGGCACUGGCCGUUGGCAAUGCCUAUCCUUCCCUGCUGCUUUGAGGAGUGGACAGAGACAGGAGAUUUGGGAAGCUGCCAAAUGUGUCCUUUUUGAAAUCUAAAGUUGUUCUGGGAGCAAGAAGAAGGAAGGAGGCAGAACAUCCGGUGCUGGCUGGAGGAGGCUGUACUGAGAGACCGGGAGCCAUGACUCCCUGCUGCUUUGGACUCAGGUCCUGCAGCUAUGAGGAGAAGGGCAACAAGAGAGGGUCUCGGGGUAAUCAUGUUCUGCACCCCCUCCAUCAAAGACUCCAGGUGUAAAUAUGGGCAAAAUAAACCGUGUUUCUCAACAACACUAGCCUCUGCUGGGCCUCAAUUUUCCCAAUGGAAACAGCCCUGAGUGAGUGCCUGGAACCCCCUGGAAUCUUGCUACCACUCGGCAGAGAUUGAAGGUGGUGCCCAACCUUCAUGGCAGUAUUUAGGCAUUAUAAUCUUAUUUAUUUAUUUGUGAUGGGUGGACAGCUUUUCUGCUGAAAUGCUGUAGCUCAGUGGUACUUUUGCUUGCAAAGGUUCCCAGGUUCAAUUCCCAGGUGGGGCUGGGAAUGGCCCUUGUCUGAAUCUCUGGAGAGCUGUUGUCAGUCAUGAGCAAGAUGGAAGAAGGGUCUUGAGGGUUAGAACUUUGUGUUCCUGGAGAACCUCCCAAGGCGGUUUUCAUAAAAGUGCACUUCUUCUCCAGCAAUAUGGAUUGUUUAUUGUGCUGAAUAGUAGCUAUAAAAACAGCUGCCUCUUUUACCCUGCGCUGUUACUCAGGGUCAGAGAGGCAUCUGACGCCCUGGAAGGCAGAAUAACUUCAGGAACUGUGACUUGUCCCUCCUUCUCCUCCUUUCUUUCCAACUUUAAGAAUAGUUGAGUCUCCAAUCUGUAAAGGCCAUAAAAACCUGAAAUGUCCCUUUCUGAUUCUGUAGGGUAGUUUCCCUUUAAAGAAGUCUCUGGUUUCAAAUUUGUGAGUUGUGGUUCCUUUUUUACAGUCUACACAUAAUGUUUACAUUUAUUUAGUUUGUCCUUAACUUGUGGAUGAAGUGCUGCAUCAAAAGGUCUUUACUCCAUAGUGUUUGGUACAGGUAUAGUCUUGUAAAGGCUUUAUGUCCUCUUAACAGGUCAAAGCAACUCAUGUAAAGUGUUCAUGGUGCCAAGUGCCAAUUAAUAAACUAUAGGUUCUCUUUUUUUAACAUGGUCCUUCUGUUCACCAGGCUUUUAGGUCUUGGAUGGUACAAGGAAAUUGUCAUAAACAUUAUGCCAUUACUCUGGAGGUAUUUCUGUAAGUUAACUGAAACACACAGCAAAUGCUAUUCUAGGCUACACCAAGAGUAGUAAUAGUACUGCUCUUGGAGUCCCGUGUCCAAUUCUGGGCACCACAAUUUAAGAAGGAUUCAACUUGCAAGAAAGGAGAUUCCAACUAAACAUCAGGAAUAACUUUCUGAUGGUAAGAGCUGUUCAACAGUGGAACAGACUCCUAUGAGAGGUGGUGGAGGUUUUUGGGCAGAGGUUGGAUAACCAUCCGUCAUGGAUGAUCUAGCUGAGAUUCCUGCAUUGCAGGGGGUUGGACUAGAUGGCUCUUGGGCUCCCUUCCAAGUCUACAAUUCUUUGAUUCUGUGUUCCAAUUUUUGCAACAAAUGUCACUUCAGGUCAUUUUAAUUUUAUUUAAAAUAUUUUAAAGGUUAGGGUUAGGCACAUAUUUCACAGCCAAAGAACAAAGAUCACAGAUUUUUCAAAAAUGUAUGCAUCCCCCAAAUUACCAAACUAUGCUUGGGUGCUCCUCUUCCUCCCCCCCCCGCAGCACCCUCAUACUCCCCCAAAAAUUUGCUCUGGAAAUUGAGAGAUUCUCUGGGGCACAUGGGAGUGGGGACCAGGGGGGUGGCGGUGGCAGAAAUCUGAAGGGGGAAGGAGAGAAAGAGCAAGACUCAGUACACCCAUUGAUAUGAUUUUGCCCUCUGUGACUUGUCUAUGACAUAUGGUUUGUAAUUACCUCAGCUUGUCUCCAUCUGGCCACCACAGUCUUGUCAAAGUAGCUGUUUAGUUAGAAUCAUUCCCAAAUAAAAAAAAAUCAAAUAUUUUAUUUAUUUACUAAACAUAUAUACCACCCUUCAUCUGUGGAUCACAAAGUAGUUUACAGUAUAAAAACACAAAAAAUACAUAACAUAAUGAUAAACAAAACAAGAACCAACACCACCCUGUAAGUUUGUUAAAACAACAAAAUUAUAAUUAUUCACUUACUACGUAGAAGUCCUGCAAAGCAUGUUGACUAUCUGUCAGUUUUCCAGUAUCUUCGUCUUGGAAGGCCUUCUUUUAACUAAAUGGGCCUUCACUACUUGGUCUUUCCUUCUGGGUGCUGCUCAUCCUGAAACUGAAACCAUCCCUUGCAUGUCUGUGUAAUGAUAACUUCUCCCUCAUCAUUAGAUUUCACUUCAUCCUCUAGUCUAGAUGGGGUACAGGCAAGCGAGAUAAGCAAUCAGCAGUCACAUUUGUGGCUCCAGGAAGACAGACAGUUUCAAAAUCAAAGUCCAUCAGCUUCACAGUUCAUUUAGCAAUUCUUUGGGUGGUCUUAUUAGAACCUCUUGCGGUAAAGAGAACUGACAGACCUUUAUGGUCAGAUCUGAGAAUAAAUUUUAUAUCCUAUAAGUAAUUGCUUAUCUACAUUUACCUUUCCUCUGCACUUUCCAGGUAUGUUCUGUACUUUAAAGCUCCAAGUACUAUUUUUUAUUUUUGUCCCAGAGCUUUCCCUGUGAAAAACUGCUCAUUAAAGCAGAAUCAGAGCUAACGGCAGUCUGCAAAAAAACGAAUUGCCAUUUGUUUCAGCCGUGAACCGCCCUGAGAUCUCAGAUGAAGGGAGGUAUGAAGGGCAGUAUACAAAUUUAAUUAGUAGUAGUGGUGAUGGUGGUAGUAGUAGUAGUAGUAAGCCUGGAAAGAGUGGGGCAAAAGGUUAGUGUGGAUAAGCCCCACGUCCUGAAAUGUCUCCCACCUCUGUCACAUGGGACUCGGGGCCCAUACACACUUCUGUUUCUGCCAUGAUUUCAACUCAUGGGUCCAAGAGGGGUUUUUAUUUGUCCUGCCGCUUUCCCCAGGAAAACCUGCUGUUUACUGCUGAAUCGGAACAAACAUUAAUUGGGUUUUCUGCGGGUUGACGUUUGUUCCGAUUCAGCAGCAAAGAGCGGGUUUUCUCAGGGAAAGUGGCAGGACAACCCCCCCCACACCUCUUGGACCUGUGACUUGAAAUCUGUGGGUGGGCCCUCAGUCAGUGUUUGGGAGCAGCAGUGGAAUGCUAAAUUUUUGUGAAAUGUUUUAGAAUUUCCCACUCAAUUUUUACAUCCUUCUCACAGAGAUAGCACAAAGGGGGCUAUUUGUGCAGCAUGUUGCCUUACAGACUUUGAGCAGUGUUUGGAAAAUCCAAGGAAAGACCAACAGUUGUCUUCAUGGUCUGGCUCUGGAGCUUCAUGACUCCUUUUUACUACACAGAUUUUUACUAACCCUCUCUGAGUGCACCAUAGGAGCACCAGUGAAUUGUUUGAAUUGAUAUUUCUUAUUGAGUAGCAGUCCACAUUGCUGAAUUUUUUGGGGGACAUGUUUCAGGAUAAUGCCAUCUUCAGAUUAAUUCUUGCCGUAUGCUAGGAUACUGUCAUGGAGGUAUGUAAUAGAAUCAUAGAAUCAUAGAGUUGGAAGAGACCACAAGGGCCAUCGAGUCCAACCCCCUGCCAAGCAGGAAACACCAUCAGAGCACUCCUGACAUAUGGUUGUCAAGCCUCUGCUUAAAGACCUCCAAAGAAGGAGACUCCACCACACUCCUUGGCAGCAAAUUCCACUGUCGAACAGCUCUUACUGUCAGGAAGUUCUUCCUAAUGUUUAGGUGCAAUCUUCUUUCUUGUAGUUUGGAUCCAUUGCUCCGUGUCCGCUUCUCUGGAGCAGCAGAAAACAACCUCUCUCCCUCCUCUAUGUGACAUCCUUUUAUAUAUUUGAACAUGGCUAUCAUAUCACCCCUUAACCUCCUCUUCUCCAGGCUAAACAUGCCCAGCUCCCUUAGCCAUUCCUCAUAAGGCAUCGUUUCCAGGCCUUUGACCAUUUUGGUUGCCCUCCUCUGGACAUGUUCCAGUUUGUCAGUGUCCUUCUUGAACUGUGGUGCCCAGAACUGGACACAGUACUCCAGGUGAGUCUGACCAGAGCAGAAUACAGUGGCACUAUUACUUCCCUUGAUCUAGAUGCUAUACUCCUAUUGAUGCAGCCCAAAAUUGCAUUGGCUUUUUUAGCUGCCGCGUCACACUGUUGGCUCAUGUCAAGUUUGUGGUCAACCAAGACUCCUAGAUCCUUUUCACAUGUACUGCUCUCAAGCCAGGUGUCACCCAUCUUGUAUUUGUGCCUCUCAUUUUUUUGCCCAAGUGCAAUACUUUACAUUUCUCCCUGUUAAAAUUCAUCUUGUUUGUUUUGGCCCAGUUCUCUAAUCUGUCAAGGUCGUUUUGAAGUGUGAUCCUGUCCUCUGGGGUGUUAGCCACCCCUCCCAGUUUGGUGUUCUGGACUCACAAUAAAAAUGAUAAUGAUGGGAGACUAACAGUACCCUCUGAGAUGUAUGUUUGAAGGAUGUAGAGAAGGAGAAGUAGCAACAAAUCUCACAGAGUGCAGAUGAUCAGGAAUCAUGGUGUUUGGUGAGCUGGAAUCUACUAGCAUCCACAAUGCAUUGUCACUUAACUCACAAUCAGCAAUGAGAAAAGAAUGGAUUUCAGUAAUAUUGAGGACACCGGCAGAGUUGUUCAACACCAUGGAAAUUCUGAUACAUUAUGAACGGGGGGCUUACAUGAUUUAGCAAAAUGUUCUUUUAAAAUUGUAUUUCUUGCAUGUUGUAGAUUUUGCUAGGACACAUGUAAACAUCUGUGUUUAGGAGUUCCACACCAGUAAUACUGAUCAGCCAGUUUGCGAUUACAAAGGGGCAGAAAUUUUCUUGCUAAUAGUCUAAUGCUAUACUAAAUAUCUGGAGAUAACAAUCUAGCAAGUAACUAUUUAGAACAGCGAAGAGCACUUUUCACCUCCCGAGCAAUUUCAGUUGUUUUUUCAAGACUCAGACCCUUUUCCAUGAGGAACUUCUCAUGGAUUUUGGGAUUAUUUGUCUUAAUUGCAAUUUGAUCCUCUGUCAUCUCAUCUGCACAAAGAAGUAUACAAGUUCCACUCAAGUCAUGCAGCUGAGCUCUACAUUGGUCAAAAGACUCCUGGGGUAUGAUUAUAUGAGAAUUUAAUUUACGAUGUUCUGAUACAUCACUCAACAUGGAAUUAAAAUCUUCAUCCAGGACCCAUAUGACUGCAUUGUUGCGGGCUGCGUCUUGCAGCCUUCAGGGCCAAAGCAAUGUGUAAGCAGAGCCUUCUCUGUUCUGGAGAGAAGACAUUAAUUGCUAUCGCUAGUACAUAAUUACUGAAAGAGAAAUACGACUUCCAUUGUUCCCAUGGGAGCCUGGGAUCACCAGCAGUGAGCAGGAAGAAAAUGGGGAUAAAAUCUGUGACAUGGUUGAAAAUAGCACAAGACAGGCACUCAUACUGCAGUCGUGGUUCCUAGAUGAACAAUAGAAACUGUGUCCACACAGAGGCAUUAUUUUGCAAGCAGGAUGUUCAGUUUGAUUUUUUGCAUUCGCAAUUUGCUUGCAAACACCCCCCCCCCUAUUUCUCAUUCACCAUUGACCUUGCUGCUCCAUCACUUACUGUCCACUUUAGUGGGUGAAGCCUGUUGGAAAAGAGUCCUGAUAUGUUCCUCCCUUCAGUUCCUCCUCCACUCCCUUUUUACAUUCUGGGCUCAUAUGCAGGUAUUUCUGUACGUUGUCUUUUUGAAGAAGAAAAAAGUCCCUAGAAAUAUGCAAGAUCACAAAAGUAAAUGCUUCACAAUGGACAAACAAGUGGGUGGGAGGGCACUUCCCAGUUUUUUAAAAACCUUGCUGAGAGUUUUGCACAAGACUUAAAUUUGCCUGAAUCUAAACAACUGUGCGCAAGUUAUCCCAAUGUCCCCCGAAGCCUCAUUGCUACCUCUUGAGACCUCUUUACCUUGUGAUGUGUAACCACUCCAAUCAUUCUUCAGUGCGGAUUAUUUUAUUUGCGGCCAUAAUUAUAUGCCCUCAUGAAAAUCCAUAUGCAUUUAAGAGGGAAUGUCUCCUAAUAUACAUAUUUUUGCAAAGCAGUUUCCCCAAAUAGAAUGCAUUUUAAUGUUUGUUCAUUUUUACUAAUAUCUUGUUACAGAUUUGCAGAGGGCAAGGAUCCCCCCAAAUUCCUGGGUGCCAGGUUCUACUCAUAAUGUGGGGUCAAGCCAAGUGCCUCAGGAGCUAGGCUUACAGUCUGCCAUCCAAGAACAAAGACACGUGAUAGUGGAGUCAAAAGGUGAGACAUUCAGCAUUAGACUAGAAAGGGUUGCAGGGGGCAUGGUGUCACCACAGGAAAAGGUUCUGGAAGUGGAAGGGGAGGAGUUGUUUUCUGCAAAGGCUGCUGGGAAGAAGAAGGUGGAAGAAAGCAGAGCUCCUUGCGACCCUCGAUGGAGAAGGCUGCACUCAGAAACCGGGGGUCACGACUGGCUGCUGCUUUGGACCCAAGCUUGCUGAAGCUAUGAGAGGAGACCCUCUUAGGGUGUAAUGUUCUGCAUCCUUCCACUGAAGGCUUAGCUGUAAAUAUGCAUAAAAUAAACCAUAUUUCUUCCAUAUGCCUUGAUUUUCCAACGGAAACACAACUUUGGGUGAACACUGGAACCCCCUGGAAUCUUUCUACCUCUUGGCAGAGAUUGUGGGUGGCAUAUAACAAUCUGCGUUUUUGUCCACACCCUGCCCUAGUAUAUGCAUUUGGGGACAUAUUACUUGGCUGCAGACCUGCAUUGCAAAAUCUGAAGAAAUGAGGAUUUUGAAAGAUGGCCGAGUUUCUGUUUGCUUGUUGUGUCAAAAAGUGCAAAUAGGGUAGGUUCAUCUCUAAAGACAAACUGAAUUGAACUGCUCCUCCAGCCCUACUUUGGAGUAAUGGGGCUUACUUCUGAGUAGGCACAACUGAGACUGCAGUCUUGGACUUAUUGGCCCUGGAACAGGAGGCAGCCGAGGCAAAGCAAGA